rnacentral:rRNA from 1 species
AACGAACGCUGGCGGCAGGCUUAACACAUGCAAGUCGAGCGCCCCGCAAGGGGAGCGGCAGACGGGUGAGUAACGCGUGGGAACCUACCCUUUUCUACGGAAUAACGCAUGGAAACGUGUGCUAAUACCGUAUACGCCCUUAGGGGGAAAGAUUUAUCGGAGAAGGAUGGGCCCGCGUUGGAUUAGCUAGUUGGUGGGGUAAAGGCCUACCAAGGCGACGAUCCAUAGCUGGUCUGAGAGGAUGAUCAGCCACAUUGGGACUGAGACACGGCCCAAACUCCUACGGGAGGCAGCAGUGGGGAAUAUUGGACAGUGGGCGCAAGCCUGAUCCAGCCAUGCCGCGUGAGUGAUGAAGGCCCUAGGGUUGUAAAGCUCUUUCACCGGGGAAGAUAAUGACGGUAUCCGGAGAAGAAGCCCCGGCUAACUUCGUGCCAGCCGCCGCCGUAACAC